rnacentral:rRNA from 1 species
AGUGACGAUAGCCUAGGAGAUACACCUGUACCCAUGCCGAACACAGUAGUUAAGCCCUAGAACGCCUGAAGUAGUUGGGGGUUGCCCCCUGUUAGAUAUGGUAGUUGCU